ACAACUGAAAAAGGCAUGACGUGUGGAUAGAUAACUCCAAACCGAAAGUUCCCCUUUUCUCUCUCUUCAAACAAUCCAGCCGUGUUAUCUCUAUUAUUUUAAGUCACCUCGCUAGUAGAACAAAAACUAAAUCUACACCCUCCUACAAUCAAGGAUCUGAACCAACUUACGUAGGCAACAAACACAAAUUUACUUCCAACCUUGGAAACAGAUCAACGCUGGAUUGUCGUUUCCUUUUUUUGGUGAUUCUUUUCCCUUGCUUAACAAACCAGGAAACUUUUCAAGUAAUACCACGCCCUCCUUUUCUUCUUUUAUUUUCGCCAAGAAAACUGCCAUAAAUUGGAAACCACCAACCGAUUGUUUUUUCAUGUGAACAAACGAAUCUGGACACCUCUUUUUUUUUUCUUGCUGCGAUCUCCACCCCUCCCGUAAUGCAAUUUGCUUUUUUUAUUUAACCACAAACGUGCCACACAAGGACACCAAAUCAGCCACCAACCAAACCGAUUCGCACUUUCCUUUUUCUUUACUUAUUUCCUUUUCAUCUCCAACGUGAUGAUCAACUCCAAGGCAACAAAUCCACGUGCACUUCCGUUUUUUCUCCUUCCUUACUUCUCUCUCUAAUAUCUCGUUGAAUUAUUCUAUUUAUUUUUCUGAUCAGAGUUUCCUUUUCCAUAGGACCGAACGUGCCCUUCCAAGCAACCCAACAACACAAAAAUCGGACCAAUUAUGGCAGAAUCUUUCGAAAUCUCUCUCAAUUCGUUUUGCCUUUCUUUGUUUUUUCUUGUGCUGAAAUAGACUUGCCAAAACGAAUUUUUAGUAGUACCCCUCACUGUUUCCAACGAAAUCAAUCCCAACGAGGCAACAAUCCUUUAAAUCCUCCUAUUUCUUUUUAUUCGAUUUUUUUCCAAAAUCGAUCAACUAACAUGGAAGGGAUCAUGUCCCAAAUCCCAACAGAUCUACGGUUGCCCUUUUUUCCGUCAGCCAAUCCCUUCUUUCCAAAUUGCAACGUGUACGUACUAAUCUGCCAGCAAUAAUUUUCUUUUGAAGCUCCAACGUGGGUGACUAGUAUUCUUUACCAAAAUCAAGUACGUACUAGUCUAUAUCUAUACUAUCUAUACUUCUAUACUACUAUUAAAAGAGCAAACAUAAUUUCUCCUAAAAACACACAACAAACUGUACACAGGAUAACCAGGACCGUCCGAUCAAAUUAACUUAAGCAUAUCCCACUGUCUAUAUUACAUCAAUCAUCUGUCCUUCAGAUCAACGUCUCAUAUGCAAUGUUCUGCCGAGCAGACGCCGCCGUCUACCAAUCAUGCGAGUGCUCCGCGUCACCCAAUCCCGCCGGUCUCGCCCGCAACACCUUGUUUUUCGCAUCGUGACUUCCCCAGACCGAGAAACCUUGAGCGCUCCUCCCUUCCCCGCGUCCCGUGCGCUUCCCACUGAUCUGCCCCAAGUCAACCCCGUCUCCGGUCGCUGCCCGCGCUCCUGCAAGCGGGCGACGACCUCCUAUGCCGGCCAGCCGCGCCCAACUCCCUCCUCCCUUCUAUCCCCCUCUCUUCACUAAUCUCUAUCCUCUCUCUUCGUUCCCACGCUGCAGAACGCCAUGGCCAUGGACCAAAGCUCCGCUGGUCCUUCGCUCGCGGCUGCCAGUCUUCCUACAGACCACAUCGACGACGGUGAUGACCGGAUCUGCCUCGUUGCCAUCCGUUUCCAUGGGACGUCAGCGGAUGGGCUUUCCUCCACUCAGCCUUUAUCCCCCCGCGGGCUCGCCAGUGAUUGGACCUACUCAGCAUGCGGGAUUGCGUCCUCUCCUGGCGAGGUGGCCGUGUCUUGCCCGCCGCGCCCUCGGCUGUAGAGUCUUUUUCCUCGGCGUGCCAUCCACCAGUAGCUCUGUCGCCGUUUAUACCACCGGGUGCCACUGCUGGUUCGCGUGAACCAUCCAGGUUCGAAACUGAAUUUUAUCAGAGGAAGUUCUGUGUGUUUGCAAGCCUGCAACACCCGUUGCAUUUUCUUCAGCAUGACCAACAACUCCACCUCUGAAGUUAACCAUGGUCAGCUACCCAAUAUAUCGUCGAGAUGCUUGACGGCAUCACUGCAGCGCACGAUUUCGAGGUGGUCGUUUACCAAUUGCAGGAUGGCAUCAGGGUCGGCAAGCACUUUCGCUCAGGUUUCCGCCUCGCCUAACAUCCGCCCCACCUCCCCAGGCAUCCCAGCCGCCACCUCCGUGUCGAGCCCCUGUGCUGUUGGUGGACAAGGUUUGCAAGAGGCAACUUAUUUUCUUAGCUUUAUUUGUUUCUUAGAUAGGUCAUGCUUUUCUAUAUUAUGGAUGGAUUCUUGAUAGCCAUCAUGGAUUACUACUAAGUUGGUAACCGAAUAUUAAAUAAGUAAAAAGUCUGCACAGUAUAGUACUGAUAACAUGGUGUUAGUCUCUAUGAUAUUUUUUUGCUUAAUGCCUAUAUUAGUCGAAUUUAAUUGGUUUGUAUAGUUACACCCACAGAUUACACCAUUCAAUGAGUUUGAUUCGGGGCACGAUCAAUGUUGUUCGUUGUUCUGAUCCAUGAUUCCUAGCAUUUUUUUGUUUCAUGAAAGGUGGUCACAUUCAGAUUCAGAUUUUUAUAAUUACAUUCAGGUUAUUUUUAGUUAAUGAAGAGAUGUUUAGCCAUCCUCCCUGGGGCUCCAAUCUGUGAGUAUGUUGGUGUGUUGAGGACAGGAGGUACUAAUUGUUUCACUUCAAGGUUUCAUUUUGCUUACGCAUCAUUUGUCUCAUUGCUCGGUUUCUUAGUUUGUCUCUUAAAAAUGGAUGUUUGUAAAUGAUUUGUUUCCACUCUUGUACAGCAAAGGGCAGGGUCUGAUAUGCAUAUGCCAUCACUUCAUAUUGAGAACGAUUCCGAGGAACCACCGGCACCGGAGUACUGCAUCAAUGCUGGCUCCGUUGGAAGUUUCACAAGGUUCAUAAACCACAACUGCAACCCUUACCUCUUCGCCCAGUGUGUCCUAACCAAUUACCACGACGUCAAGCUAGAAAAGGUGAAGCUUUUUGCUGUUGACACUAUACUUCCACUUCAGGUGAAUUGAUUUAUGUUGCAUCUCAACAAUUUCUACCGGUAAAACUCUAUAACUUCUCUUGAGUUCUAACUGGUAUACGUACUUUGCCGGAGCUUUGCUAUGACUACGGUUAUGUCUUGAAAAACUUCGUUUCUGCGGAUGUUGAAAUCGUCAAGCUGCCAUGCUACUGUGGCGCCCCAGACUGCCAGAAGCGACUCUACUAGCGAAUCUUUUCUGUUUGGGGGAUUAUAUGCAGUAUUGUGGGUAUGAAUGCGGCAAUGCCUGUUGUGUAUAUGAUAAGCACGACAUCCUAUAAUUAUUAGCGAAAGAAGCACGUUCUCUUUUUGUGCAGGGUAGAUGACAUGCGGACACACUAAUUAUAGUUAGUAAACAAAGUUUAUCUGGGUGACAUGCCUGUGUUGGAAAUAUGCCCUAGAGGCAAUAAUAAAAUGGUUAUUAUUAUA